AAACUAGAAUUAGAAUCAGAGUUAGGAUUCAAACUAGAAUACUCCAAAAGGGAUAGGAGUGUCCCAACCAGCAGCCCAGCUGCUAGGCAAAAUGCCCACCCCAGGAACUCUAUUUUAUAGAAUCCAAUGCAAUGCAAAUAGUAUUUAUCGUCUAUUGUGUGCAGAUAUUCACAAGAAGUGUGUAAAGUAGAUAUUUAUAUGUCAUCUCUCAUUGUUACCAAACUAACAAAUUGAGCAUGAGUUUGAAUCUAAAGAUAGAAUUAUUCUCACAGAAAAUAUCUUGUAAUAUAAAAUGAGUAUACUACAAAGUUGCCAGUUUUUUCUUCCUCUCUAGCUUACUGAAUAUGUAGUUGUCCCGUAAUUUUAACUUGUUCAUAUAACUUAUGCAUAUAAUUCUAACUUAUGCAUAUAAUUAGGGUUGUUCCCUAAUUAUAACUUACGCAUAUAUAUAACAUCUGCAGGACUCUUAAAGAUUCUACUUCUUGAAUAACUUGUUAAAAGUGAAGUUUGAUACUGUUGUCAGAAUAUUCACCUUCGAAUGGGUAAAAUCUGUUUUAUGUGGAAAUAUAAUCUUUUACUAAACAUGUCCAUGAUCAUAGCAUAUGUCACGUGUUUUUUAAUAUUUAUUUAUUUAUUUGAAAGGCAGAGUACACAGAGAGAGAAAAAGAGGCAGAGAGAGAGGUCUUCCAUCUGCUGGUUCACUCUCCAAUUGGCCGUAAUGGCUGGAGCUGCAUUGAUCUGAAGCCAGGAGCUUCCUCCUGGUCUCCCACGCAGGUGCAGGGGCCCAAGAACUUGGGCUAUUUUAUACUGCUUUCCCAGGCCAUAGCAAAGAGCUGGAUCAGAAGUGGAGCAGCAAGGACUCAAAUUAGCACCCAUAUGGGAUCUGGCACUGCAGGGGGCAGCUUUACCUGCUACACCACAGCGCCAGCCCCCACACAUUGUUUUAUUUCCUAAUUGUAGUAUAUUCUUUUCAACAGGAGAACAAGUACCAAGGCUACAUCAUCAUUGUAUUUGUCCUAACUGCCAUUUAUUUAAUUGUGUGUUAUAUAGAUUAUUACCACCUCACCUGAUUUGUAGACAGACUUCAGGAUGUAGAAAUGCACUUGGGGUAACAAGAAUGUAGCUCCUACAAGGCAAAUGCAUGGCCCCAAGGUCAGCACGUUACCUGGUAUUUCAAAUAGCCUUGAGUGGUUGUAUUAUGCUCUUCUAUGCUCUUCCUAUACACGAAUUUACACUCAAAAUUUUAAGGGCUGUCCAAAUUCCUGGCCAAAUUUAAUUUAGAUUCUUGAAAAAUAAGAAAUGAAGAGAACUUUUGUGACCAAAGAAGUCAAAGGUCAGGUGUAUUUCCAGUGCUCUUUGUUCAUCAACUAAAUGGUAUUAAAGAACAGUCAGAGAAUGCCUUUACUUAGUGUAGGCCUCUGCUGACACCGUUCGCCUUUUGUUGUGAGGGUUUUUAUUUUGUUUCCCAAAAGUCUGAGCAGCUCUUAAGUCCCAGUUUCAGAGAGAAAGACAGAUGAAAAAGUUCAUCUUUUACACUGGAGAAAUACUUCAAAGGAAAACAUUCGAAGGUCAUGUCAGCCUGCUUUGUAACAUCUACUUGGACGGAAAUAAUUUGCUUUGUGGAGUUCUGUUCAUAAUGGCAUUAAGCCGUUUAAGGGCAGUUGGGUGGAUAGAUUCCCAUCCAUCUUCAUAACCCCAGUAAACAGUGAGCAAAUAUACAUUAAAGCAGGUUUUUUUAUAGGAUCUAUGUAGGCAUUGUGUCUUCCCUGUGUGGCGAUAUGAGAAAUUCAUCUUCUAAAGAAAUAAACACAUUUUAAUUCAACAUUCUUAAUAGAUAUGGUUUGUCUUUUUCAUUUUAGGGGGUAAAGAAAAUGACAUUCAUUAAGAGUUAGUAUUAGGAGAACUAUACAGGGAAAAAUAAUCAAAGGUCUUCUUUUUUUUCUCUUUCUUUCUUUCCUUUCUCUCUCUCUCUCUGUCUCUCUUCCUUCUUUCCUUCCUUCCUUCCUUCUUUUCUUCCUUUCCUCCGUCCCUCCCUUCUCUCUCUCUCUCUCUUACAGAGUUUCAGAGAGGGACACACACACACACACACACACACAGACACAGAUCUUCCAUUUGCUGCUUCACUCUUCAAAUGCCCACAACUAGGGCUGGACAAAGGUUAAUCCAGGAGCUAGGAACUUCCAGAUGGGACUCCCAAGUGAGUGGCAGGAACCCAAGUAUUCGAACCAUCAUCAGCUGCCACCUAGGCACAUUAGCUGGAUCUGGGCUGGAAAUGGGAGGGUCAGAACUCAAUCCCAGGCACUCUGAUUUGGGAAGUGAACAUCUCAGAAUGGUGGUCUAACCUGGUAUAUCACAACUCCACCCUGCAAAAGUCUUCUUGAACAAUCUGUGCAAUAGCUGAUUUUGAGCUUAGUGAAUCUGUCCUAAUUACUGGAGAUAAAAUGAUGAACAAAACCAUUUUUGGCACAAACAUGGAAGGUGCAGUUAAGUGGAGAUAGAAUUUUUGUUCUUCAAACAACUAUGGGCAUGCAAAAUGCAUUGAUGGAGAUUGUUAGGGGAAUUUGAGUAGUCUGGGGUUCCAUUAAAAUAGGGGUAUGGGUUUCUAUAAAGUCAAUACACUACUCGUAUCCCUGACUAAAUCCUUGCAACCUGCUGGCUUGCCAUUCACUCAGCGUGAUGGCUCCUCUGAGGUCUUGCUGGCAUACCAAGCACCAUAGCUUCCUGUAAAGUUGUUACUUGCAGUAGAAGUGUGUAGAAGAGAGUGAUAAUGAAACAUCAUUCUCUGGGUGUGUCUGUAGUAGAUUGUGACAUCACUAAGGGCAAGUAAAUGCUGUGUCUGAGUUUGAUUUGUGCUGCUGUAACAGAAUACCAGAGAGUGGACCAUUUAGCAUAAGCAGAAAUACAGGGUCACAGAUCUGGAGACAUGUAAGUCCAAUAACAAGGAAGCUACUUCUGAAAAAAGCAUUUUGAUGAGUUAUAACGUGGCAGAAGAGCUUUUGAAAUAUUAUCUGGUUCUUGAGAGGGACGUCACAUUCGCAGCUUUAUCAAGCACGACAUCUCCUCCAGCUUCUAACACUGCUCACAGAUGGCACUGCUCAACAGGACCUACUUUGUCAAACACGACAUUUACUUACGACCUUGCCGGAGGGUGGAUUAGAGGCUCCCUCCUAAGCUACACUGCUAUCGGUCAUUUUUUGCAGGAUUCCCAUUGAUAACUUAUUAGUCACACCACUUUGCUUCUCUGGAAGUCCCAACGAAACAGCUUAAAAUUUAAGCUUCAUAAACUCAUUUAAAUAAACAUUUCUGCUUUGAUUUCAUUUUUCAUUACAGUCAAGAAAGGGGUCCUUCUGGUAGUUUCUACGAACCAAGCAAAACACGCAGUUCUUUCUCAGCCUGUUGUGUGCGUGUUUACACACGUGUGUUUCCAUAAAUGGAGGGCUAUCAAGAAGUUCAUGGGGAAAUGGAAGGAAAAGACAUUUGCUUUGCUGUAAAAAUUUUGAAACCCGUGUGUGUUCUUUUUCAUAAUAUGGAAUUUUGAAGAUCCUUUAUGUGUCUAAUGCUAUGCCUCAAGUACUAGCUGUGAAUAUAUGUGAUUCAUAUAUUGGAUACAAAAAUGUUUGUAAUUAGAAAAUGAAGUGAAAAAAAACAGUGCAAAAACACAAAACAGUGCAAAAUUACUGUGUGUGUUUAACUAAAUGGAGAAAAAAAUAAUUUUCUGCAUUUUGUUAACAAUGGAAAUAUCAGCACUAGCUGUAGCAGGCACUCGAGAAGUGAACUAGUGGAGUGGAAGACUUCGUCCCCUCUGUUUUUCUUGCAAAAUAAAUACACAAAUGAAUAAUCCAAGAUUAUUUUAAUUUCCUUUUUAAACUUUUUAAUAAAGAUUUUUUUUAAUUUAUAGUUAGAUUUACAGAAAGAGAGAGAGAGAGAGAGAUCUUCCAUCUGCUGGUUCACUCCUGAAAUGGUUGCAACAGCCAAGGCUGGGCCAGGCAGAAGCCAGGAUCCAGGAGCUUCAUCCUGGUCUCUGGCAUGGGUAUAGGUGCACUUGGGCCAUCCUCUGCUGCUUUCCCAGGUGCAUUAGCAGGGAGCUGGAUCAGAAGUGGAGCAGUCAGGUUUUGAACUGGCACCCAUAUGGGAUGCUAGCAUCACAGGUGGAGCUUAACCUGUUCGUCCACAAUGCCUGCCCUUAUUUUAAUUUUCCAAUAAAUUUUUAAUGUUCUGUGCUGAAAGCUUCUUGGGAUGCCAAAGAUUUUCAGCUGGAUUUUGUGGGUGAGGCUUUCACCCCAAACUUACUAGGUGCUAAAUUCUGAUACCCAUGCCAUAGUUGAGACGUUCAGUUUUGUCUUUUUUUUUUUUAAUUUGUUUUAAUUUUUCACUGCCAAGCAUCAGACUCCAGCCUGUAGCGUGUCCAUUAAUUGUCUUCACCAGCCGCAGCCUGGCAGACUUCCUCUCACUGUCAUUCAGACAUGUGCUGUGUUCAACAAGCUCAGGCACUGCAAAUCCCUGCUGUUUGGGAUUAUGUGGACAUCUUAGCUGCUGGCCUAAAUAUCCGCGCUUUCAUUGAAGUUCCUGUUCAUCUUUAUCAAAAGGCGAAGGCUGCUUUUCAGGAAAUUUCAAAUCACCAUAGCCACAAAGCUUUUUUCUCCCAGGUGCUUAUUUUUUCCCCACAAAUAAAAGAAGCCAGAAAUAGAUUUCAGCCUUCUCAACUGGGAGCAGUUUGGGGAAAAGGCUCAAAACACAGCGUCCAUGUAAGAAUUGUAUUUUCAACAUUGAGCCACAGCUGUUCACAGACACCUGGGAGAUACCUGGAGAAGAAUCUUGCCUGGACCAAGGUCCCAGAGGUUCUGGGUAUUUAAAAGAUAAUCAUCACUCUUUACUGAGAUAUAAAGCAGAUGCUGAAAACCCACAAAAUCCAUAAGUCUUAUGGAAAAGAACUUGCCAAUAUAGGAUGCCAGUUUUGCAUGUUGUGAUUUAACUUGCUAUGUCACAACACUGGCUCCCAAUCUCACAAAUUUUUAAAAGAUGUAUAAUACUAUGCAAUAUUUUAUUGCUACAUAAAUAUAUGUUCAUGGAAAAUACACAUUUAUUUUGGUGCAAAAAAGUCAAUGUCCAUGCAAAUGAAUAGUUUUCCCACAAUAUGCACAAUAAACUUGACUCUUUAUUUUUGUGUGAAUUUGUUGAAAUACUCGUGUGUAUGAAAAGAAUUCAGAAAUAAUGGUUUAUGUUGAAGUUAUUUACAUGCUCAUUUGUCUAAUUCUGAACUUCCCUUUUAGCAAUAAGCUUAGUAAGGCAGGUAUCACUGAUGUUUGGUCAUCUGUAUGUAAUUACAAGGAUAUUUCAACAGUAAUUGAAGUUUCUACUAGAACAAAAACAAAUGGAAUACAUAUAUGCAAGAGCAAUUCAACAUUCAAACAUUUAAUGUGACCCAUCACAUCAAAAGAUUUAAAAAAUUACAAUAAAUCAACUGAUGUAGAAAAAAGCAUAUGACAAAAUCUCACACACAUCUGUGAUAAAAUUUCCCAGUAAACUAGGAAUACUUGGGAAUACCAUCAGAUUCAUAAUGGAUAUCUGCAAGAAGCCUACAAUGAUGAGAAAAAGGCGCUUCCCCAAUCAGGAAUAUUUCAAGGAUGUACAUUUUCAUGAUUUUUUUUAGUGUCAUACUGGAAAUACUAGCAAAUGCAAUAUUACGAGAAAAUGAAACCAAUGUAUGCAGAGCUGGAAGGAAGAAACAAAACUGUCUUUGUCCACAAAUGACAUAUCAUCUACAAAGAAAGCCUGAUAGAAUUGAUCGAAAAAGCUGGAACUAAUAAGUGAAUAUAUAGACAUUGUAAAAUACAAAGUUAAUAUAUUUUGUAUGUCAUUU